UACGUAGGGUGCAAGCGUUAAUCGGAAUUACUGGGCGUAAAGCGUGCGCAGGCGGCUUUGCAAGACAGAUGUGAAAUCCCCGGGCUUAACCUGGGAACUGCAUUUGUGACUGCAUGGCUGGAGUGCGGCAGAGGGGAUGGAAUCCGGCGUGUAGCAGUGAAAUGCGUAGAUAUGCGGAGGAACACCGAUGGCGAAGGCAAUCCCUGGGCCUGCACUGACGCUCAUGCACGAAGCGUGGGAGCAACAGG
rnacentral:rRNA from 1 species